GUUUGAGACCAGCCUGACCAAUAUGGUGAAACCCCGUCUCUACUAAAAAUACAAGAUUAUUUUUAGUACAAGAUCUUCUUAGGAUUAUUUCCUGGACAGUAUAUAGUGAUGUUACAACCCCAGUGAUUUAAAGCAGAUCUCUCAAAGCAAAGGAGGAAUGAGCUUUUGUCAGGAUGCUAGUGGCAUGUCCUUAGUAUUAGAGGAAAACAAAGAACUAGAUUCCUUUUGUUUGUCAAAGGCACACAAUAGUUAACUUGAAGGCAUUCCCACUGAUGGAAUAUGGGACAAUUUAGCACCAAACAGAAAAUAGCAAUGGAUCAUAAUCCACUGAAUACAAUAAGAAUGCAAGUGUCUAUACUUGCAUAUAUAUUAAUAAAUAAUAAAUAUUAAUAAAUAAGUAUACACAAAUAAGGAAAAAGGGAAAAUUCUUCCUUAUAGUAGAAUGCCAACUACUAAAUGUAGAAAGAAUGGGAGUUUAAAAAAUUAGCAAUGACUGCUAAAAUUAGUAGGUGAAGGUUUUAUGAGGACAAGAUGUUUACAGUUUCAAAGUAUA
rnacentral:lncRNA from 10 species